AAUCUUGCGAAAUGGGCAAAAGCCUGACGCAGCCAUGCCGCGUGAAUGAUGAUGGACUUAGGAUUGUAAAAUUCUUUCACUGGAGACGAUUAUGACGGUACCCGGCGAAGAAGACCCGGCUAACUUCGUGCCAGCAGCCGAGGUACUACGAAGGGGGCUAGCGUUGCUCGGAAUUUCUGGGCGUAAAGGGCGCGUAGGCGGACAUUUAAGUCAGGGGUGAAAUCCCAGAGCUCAACUCUGGAACUGCCUUUGAUACUGGGUGUCUUGAGUGUGAGAGAGGUAUGUGGAACUCCGAGUGUAGAGGUGAAAUUCGUAGAUAUUCGGAAGAACACCAGUGGCGAAGGCGACAUACUGGCUCAUUACUGACGCUGAGGCGCGAAAGCGUGGGGAGCAAACA
rnacentral:rRNA from 1 species